rnacentral:rRNA from 1 species
GGGAGGUAGUGACAAUAAAUAACAAUACGGGGUUCUUUAGGAUCUCGUAAUUGGAAUGAGUACAAUUUAAAUCUCUUAACGAGGAACAAUUGGAGGGCAAGUCUGGUGCCAGCAGCCGCGGUAAUUCCAGCUCCAAUAGCGUAUAUUAAAGUUGUUGCAGUUAAAAAGCUCGUAGUUGAAUUUCGGGACCAAUUUGUUGGUCGUGCCUCGGUACGUACUGGUAUUAUUGGUUUCUUCCUUCUGAAGAACCUUGAUGUCGUUAAUUUGGUGUCUUGGGGAAUCAGGACUGUUACUUUGAAAAAAUUAGAGUGUUUAAAGCAAGCUAACGCUUGAAUACAUUAGCAUGGAAUAAUGAAAUAGGACGUUCGAUCCUAUUUUGUUGGUUUCUAGGAUUGACGUAAUGAUUAAUAGGGAUAGUUGGG